AACUGCAAUGUGGAUGGUGACGCCGGUGUUCCAGCAAUUUCCAUUUCAUAGCAGGCCUGAGCCUUGGUGGUUACUGGGUUGUUCCUGAACAUCCUAACCA